rnacentral:rRNA from 1 species
GAUGAACGCUGGCGGCGUGCCUAAUACAUGCAAGUCGAGCGAACAGACGAGGAGUUUGCUCCUCUGACGUUAGCGGCGGACGGGUGAGUAACACGUGGAUAACCUACCUAUAAGACUGGGAUAACUUCGGGAAACCGGAGCUAAUACCGGAUAAUAUAUUGAACCGCAUUGUUCAAUAGUGAAAGACGGUUUUGCUGUCACUUAUAGAUGGAUCCGCGCCGCAUUAGCUAGUUGGUAAGGUAACGGCUUACCAAGGCAACGAUUCGUAGCCGACCUGAGGGGGUGAUCGGCCACACUGGACCUGAGACACGGUCCAGACUCCUACGGGAGGCAGCAGUAGGGAAUCUUCCGCAUUGAGCGAAGGCCUGACGGAGCAACGCCGCGUGAGUGAUGAAGGUCUUCGGAUCGUAAGACUCUGUUAUUAGGGAAGAACAAAUGUGUAAGUAACUAUGCACGUCUUGACGGUACCUAAUCAGAAAGCCACGGCUAACUACGUG